rnacentral:rRNA from 1 species
AUUGAACGCUGGCGGCGUGCUUAACACAUGCAAGUCGAGCGGUAACAGGCGUAGCAAUACGUGCUGACGAGCGGCGAACGGGUGAGUAAUGCUUCGGAAUCUGCCCAGUAGUGGGGAAUAACCUGGGGAAACUCAGGCUAAUACCGCAUACGAACUAAGGUUGAAAGCAGGGGAUCGCAAGACCUUGCGCUAUUGGAUGAGCCGAAGUCGGAUUAGCUAGUUGGUGAGGUAAAGGCUCACCAAGGCGACGAUCCGUAGCUGGUCUGAGAGGACGACCAGCCACACUGGAACUGAGACACGGUCCAGACUCCUACGGGAGGCAGCAGUGGGGAAUAUUGGACAAUGGGGGAAACCCUGAUCCAGCGACGCCGCGUGUGUGAAGAAGGCCUGCGGGUUGUAAAGCACUUUUAGUGGGGACAAAAAGCCAAGGGCUAAUAUCCUUUGUCUUGAUUUAACCCAAAGAAAAGACACCGGCUAACUCUGUGCCAGCA